GAAGCGGAAUCUGAAAAGCUAAAAGAGUAAGAG
rnacentral:ncRNA from 2 species